rnacentral:rRNA from 1 species
AGGUCAAGCUGUGAAGAGCGCAAGGGGAAUGCCUUGGCACUGGGAGCCGAUGAAGGACGCGACAAGCUGCGAUAAGCUGCGGGGAGCUGCAAAUAAGCGUUGAUCCGCAGAUUUCCGAAU